UCGAUAUAUCACAUAAUCACUUCAAUGGAACUCUGCCACCAUUCUACUUUUCCAACUGGCUUGAAAUGAUCAUGUUAGCCGAAGAAUUUCAAGGCCAUAGCAUGUACAUGGGAUAUGACCUCUUUCAGGGCCGUCUCAAAUUAAUUUUAGGCCCUGUUCAAAAAAAAAUUUAAUCGUACAUUUUAUCAAGUAAUUUUAAAAUUUAAUAACUUUGUCUGAUUUUUUUUAAUUAUAAGUUCUAAAUUUAGCAUUAUAUUUAAAAUUUUAAAGUUUCUAACCAUAAUUUAUCUAUAUAUUUUGAAAAAUUCUUAAAUUUUUUAUUUUUAUAUUUUGGGACCCUGUUCGACCGCUCCACUUGCGCGUGCUGUUAGACGGCCCUGACCUCUUUGAUGAUCCCUUCCGUUAUUCCAUGGAAAUAGUAAAUAAAGGAGUCGAUACGUUAUUUGAGCUGAUCCGGACAGACUUUGGAGCUAUCGACUUUUCAGGAAACAACUUUUCAGGAAAGAUCCCAAAAUCCAUUGGAUUAUUGAAGGGAUUGCGUCUUCUCAACUUGUCAAGUAACAGAUUCUCAAACCAUAUUCCUCAAUCAUUGGCAAAUCUGACAAAUCUUGAGGAAUUAGACCUAUCUCGGAAUCAGCUGUCAGGUCAAAUUCCUCGAAAUCUUGUCAGACUCUCUUUUUUGUCAAUCAUGAACUUCUCCCAUAAUAAUCUCGAAGGUCCAAUACCACAAAGCACACAGUUUCAAAGACAAAAUUGUUCUUCAUUCAUGGACAACCCCAAGCUCUACGGACUCGAAGAUAUAUGUGGAAAAACUCAUUUCCCUAAUCCUACACCACAAGAAUCUGAGGAUUUAUCUGAGCCAGAAGAACAAGUGAUUAGUUGGAUAGCAGCAGCGAUAGCUUAUGGACCUGGUGUUUUCUGCGGAUUGGUGAUAGGACAUAUCUUCUCUCAAGGCAUAUACAACUGGUUCAUGUAAAAGUUCUGCCGAAAGCAAUUCCAAGAUAGUCACUAGAAGUGCCCCCUAGGACUCAAUCUCUCUUUAAGUGCUUGUGAAACAUAUGUAUGUGUGUGUGAGUUCUCCCAACGUACUUUUCAAUAUAUAAUUUUGUAAUAAAUGUCUUUUGGUAGUAUUGAUCUUAAACUUAAAAUGCAUUCAAAACUGGUGUGUGUGUGGUUAUCUGUAAUGCUAUUUUUUAUUUCUCAGUAAUUUGUCUUUGUCAUGGAAACAAAUAAAUCACGUCGUUUUGAGUCUUCCUUACCAAAACUUUUUAAGUCAGAUGUAAAUUUUUCAUCUUUUUUUUUUAUUUCUGUGUGGUUUUCGUGCUCUCUACUUGUACUUGAACUUUCACUUUACUACUUCUCCUCCCAAUCCUCUGUUUUGAAGUGUGUGUUUUUUUUUUGGAGGUCUCUGUACUCUUCUUCAGAAAUUUUA
rnacentral:lncRNA from 1 species